rnacentral:tRNA from 1 species
GGGUAGGUGGCCGAGUGGUCAAUGGCAGCAGACUGUAAAUCUGCCGGCUUCGCCUUCGAAGGUUCAAAUCCUUCCCUGCCCACCA